rnacentral:lncRNA from 1 species
AAUAACUAACCCUUACCGGUCGAACAACCAUGAAACGUUCGUGAUUUAGAACUCCGGCAGCCUUGCGUUCUAGAAUAGCCUAGCUCGAACCAAUGUCCUCAACCGCGUGGGACAUUUAAAUCCGGUUACUACUUCCCUUGACGGAACCAAACAGCUAUCUCCACUUGGCACGCCAAUGUGUUCAUAGAAAAUCGAUUAGAAACGUUCUUUUCGGAAUUCCAACUGUACGUCUAACCACACUAACUCAAACGACGUCUUUUUUUUACUUAGCGUUGAUCUGACUUUAUGAGCUGACAAAAUCAUACUCUUAACGGAGAAGUAAUAAGUACUGGAAUUUAGGAGUUAAUUUACUCGGGUUCGUAACUCACGGGUUUUGGUGAGGCUAAUUCAGACCUAAAGC